CCAAGUGUUUCUUUUCUAAUCAGCUUCCUCCUCUUCCUCCUCUGUGCUCCCAGUUCUGCCACCCUCCCUUGAUGGUGACAACCCAAUUCAUCCUCAGGAAAUGGAUUAGAAUGUCUCUAACAGCAUCACAAGUACUGGAGAAGGAAAGGGCAUCUUUGCCAAGAAAACCCUGUGGACAGUAUGGAUCAUGGAGUUAUGAAAAGCUGGACAUGACUGAAUGACUAAACACAAUGAAGGAGUUCAUAUUUCAAAAAAUGAGGAAACAAGGUCCUGAGAGCUUACACACCUUGCUCAAGAUCCCAUAGACAUUAAGUAGCAAGGAAAGAAUUCACAUCCAAGUCCUUAGACUUCCAAUCAGAAUCCAUGGAAGAAAUGUGGAUGGAAAGAGCUUCCCUAGAAGACCUGUUGGCAAAAGCUUCACCUGUGAUUGAUCAUCUCUGUGGAUAUUUUACUUGAUGUUAUCCACCCUCCUUUUAUUUUCUGAGUAGGCCAUUCAAUUGCUUUUUUCUUUUUCUCUUUUUAAUUAAAAGCGUUUCUGUUUACUUUCUUAGACCCUCUCCCCAUU